rnacentral:rRNA from 1 species
UACAGAGGUCUCAAGCGUUGUUCGGAUUCAUUGGGCGUAAAGGGUGCGUAGGCGGCGCGGUAAGUCGGGUGUGAAAUCUCGGAGCUUAACUCCGAAACUGCAUUCGAUACUGCCGUGCUUGAGGACUGGAGAGGAGACUGGAAUUUACGGUGUAGCGGUGAAAUGCGUAGAUAUCUGGAGGAACACCGGUGGCGAAGGCGGCGUUCUGGACUGUUUCUGACACUGAAAAACGAAAGCCAGGGGAGCAAACGGG